AGCGAACGCUGGCGGCAGGCCUAAUACAUGCAAGUCGAACGGCUCUUCGGAGCAGUGGCGGACGGGUGAGUAACGCGUGGGAACGUGCCCUUUGGUUCGGAACAACACAGGGAAACUUGUGCUAAUACCGAAUGUGCCCUUCGGGGGAAAGAUUUAUCGCCAUUGGAGCGGCCCGCGUUGGAUUAGCUAGUUGGUGGGGUAAUGGCCCACCAAGGCGACGAUCCAUAGCUGGUCUGAGAGGAUGAUCAGCCACACUGGGACUGAGACACGGCCCAGACUCCUACGGGAGGCAGCAGUAGGGAAUCUUGCGCAAUGGGCGAAAGCCUGACGCAGCCAUGCCGCGUGAAUGAUGAAGGUCUUAGGAUUGUAGAAUUCCUUCACCGGGGAAGAUAAUGACGGUACCCGGAGAAGAAGCCCCGGCUAACUUCGUGCCAGCCGCCGCAGUAA
rnacentral:rRNA from 1 species